rnacentral:rRNA from 1 species
AAAUGAAUAGACGGGGGCCCGCACAAGCAGCGGAGCAUGUGGCUUAAUUCGAUGCAACGCGAAGAACCUUACCAGGGCUUGACAUGUAGGUGAAGCGGCGGAAACGUCGUGGCCGAAAGGAGCCUAUGCAGGUGGUGCAUGGCUGUCGUCAGCUCGUGUCGUGAGAUGUUGGGUUAAGUCCCGCAACGAGCGCAACCCUCGUCGCAUGUUGCCAGCGGUUCGGCCGGGCACCCAUGCGAGACCGCCGGCGUCAAGCCGGAGGAAGGUGGGGAUGACGUCAAGUCAUCAUGCCCCUUAUGUCCUGGGCUGCACACGUGCUACAAUGGCCGGCACAAUGGGCUGCCACCCCGUGAGGGGGAGCGAAUCCCUAAAGCCGGUCCCAGUUCGGAUUGGAGGCUGCAACCCGCCUCCAUGAAGUCGGAGUUGCUAGUAAUCGCGGAUCAGCACGCCGCGGUGAAUGCGUUCCCGGGCCUUGUACACACCGCCCGU